rnacentral:rRNA from 1 species
UACGAAGGGGGCUAGCGUUGUUCGGAAUCACUGGGCGUAAAGGGCGCGAAGGCGGCUUUGUAAGUCGGGGGUGAAAGCCUGUGGCUCAACCACAGAAUUGCCUUCGAUACUGCGAGGCUUGAGACCGGAAGAGGUUAGUGGAACUGCGAGUGUAGAGGUGAAAUUCGUAGAUAUUCGCAAGAACACCAGUGGCGAAGGCGGCUGACUGGUCCGGAUCUGACGCUGAGGCGCGAAAGCGUGGGGAGCAAACAGG